rnacentral:rRNA from 1 species
UUGGAGGGCAAGUCUGGUGCCAGCAGCCGCGGUAAUUCCAGCUCCAAUAGCGUAUAUUAAAGUUGUUGUGGUUAAAAAGCUCGUAGUUGAACCUUGGGCCUGGCUGGCCGGUCCGCCUCACCGCGUGUACUGGUCCGGCCGGGUCUUUCCCUCUGUGGAACCCCCAUGCCCUUCACUGGGUGUGGCGGGGAAACAGGACUUUUACUUGAAAAAAUUAGAGUGCUCCAGGCAGGCCUAUGCUCGAAUACAUUAGCAUGGAAUAAUGAAAUAGGACGUGCGG